AUAAACUCUCUAGUUUCACUUCCAUCGCUGGAGUGUCUGUUUUUCCACCUUCAAAAAUCUUUAUUUGAAGGCACAGUUCGGCCUUCCAAGUUCAACUGGCUGGAGCGGAGGAUUAAUCAUUUUAGUCUGACUAAAACCAACACGUCCUGGCUGAAAAGAUCAAAAAUGGGAAACGAAAUACCAAGGGAAUCUAACCCGGCGUAUAACCUGACUUGCCAGCAGUGUUCUAAAAAGCUGAACCCAUGCUACACCUUGGAGAAACAUACGAUUAACAACUUAUAUGUACACGUGUUUAAUGGAGGGGAAUACUACAGACUAGAAGGGCCGAAUUAUAUAUACUACUGCACAAAUUGCUUUCAACAGCUUAAAUAAGAGAUGAGAAGAGGAGAGGAAUAAUAGAGGAGGAGCGACAGAAAGAAAAACAGAAUCAAAAACCACAAGAAUAUGGGUUAAGAAAGGUGGGACUGAAAGGGUUUGAUUCCCCCCAGACUUACUUCCUACAUCUAAAAGAGUGCAAAAGGACUCGACAUCCAGCCUUUUAGCUUAAAAUGACAACAUGAUACAAUCACAUGAACAGUACACAUGAUUCUAAAUAAGAAAAAUGUUAUUCUUGCUAUGUUGUAACUGUUAAACACACAAUCAUAAUUUAGAUGCGAUUUUGCUGAUUUUGCAAUAAGAAAAUAUAAUCUAUGAAAUGAUUUGAAGAAUAGGACUUUUACUGAGAUUACAGGGUACAAAUGUAGAGGACACUGAUCUCAGAGAAUCUCUGACUCUAUUAUGUAUAAUUUGAAGUUAUAUUGAGUAUAAUGUAACUAACAAGUAUUUCUAUUUAACUGAAUUGAUUAAAUUGUGUUGAAAUGGAUGUUCAUGUGAGACUGAACUAAUAGUAAAUCUAAUCGAAGUAAAAUCACAAACUGAAUGAUAUAUGAAAGAAAUAUAUGGAUAUGCCAUUUAAAUUUCAUGUCCAUUGUUGUAUAUCAUUACAUAACUGAAACCGAUUUAGAGUGCUUUAUUUAGCCGUGGAGGGUAACAACUGAAAAUAUGAAAUAAUCACACAUGUAAGCUAAGACUAGGCUAAAACAGCAUUGUUGUUCGGCUUUUCAUUUCACCAUCUGUUGAUUCACUCGAAGAGCAAGUAACAUAAUACAGGUCAAGUUAUCACUUGGAUAUCAAUCUUUUGUGAUACACCGUCAUAUUUACAUUAUUUGUACAGUAUGAAUGAUUUGCUUUGAUACCUGGUCCAACUUAAGCUCUCCUCUGUCUGCCUGUCUAAACUUCUCCUACAGCAAACUCGCAGACAGCAGCUUCUCCCCCCUCACUCACUUGCGUAAGUGCUGUGCUCAGUCACCUAGUGCCUGAGCUCGGAUCAUACCAAAAUUAGGGGGAAUUUACAACUAUGCACUAUGGGCUUCGAAUAUUGUGUGUAAUUUUUGUUUUAUACAGUUGUCAGUCAGUCCUCUAACUAUGAAACAAAUUACACUCCAAAAGACCCCAUGCUUCUGAAAAAAUGACCCAGGUUAAAGCCCAGUAAGCCCCUCCACCAAUAUGCCCAUUGUCCUCUCAAUCUUUCUCUUCUUAAAGAUCAGAACAAAAUCAGCAGUAGGUUAAUUAGAUAAAUAUAAUUCAAGUGAUUUGUUUCUUGUGGGAUUAUUAUGGUUAUUUGUAUGGCUCUUUCUUUGCUCCUGCUGAACUGCUUUAAUGAUCACACGCAUGGGAGAUGGACACUGUAUGCAGACAGCAUCAGAUCUCAAAAUGGUGGAGCAUUGAUCAAACUCUUAUAGCCUCUAGUGGCCCCCACCUUAUCAUAAAAGCCUAAACAUUCACA